ACUUCCCCCACUGCUUAGUUCUGUUCCAUUUUUUUGCAUUGUAAUAUAUUAGUAUUUUAUCUUUAUGUAAACGAAAGAGAAUUUGCAAUAAGGAAUUUGCCUGCAAAGAAUUACAAGCUUGUAGAGUUUAAUACUUAACAAUAAGAUCAAUUAGCUUUAAGUUUAAAAAAAGAAUAAUCAGCAUUUUCUCUCAAAAAUCGCCAAUUUGGCGAGAUUCUUGCAAAUCGAGGAAAAUUAUAAUUACAAAUGCUCAACUUAACUUUUCAUCACAUUGACAUAAUUAGCUGGCUAUCAACACGCCAAUUGAAAUAGCUGGUAACUGCUCCAGAUUGUACAUAAGGCUCCUAUACUAUGAGAGCUGAACUAUCCACCAUUAUGUAGUAAACAAGUUCGCAAGUUACGUUAUGCUAGUAUUAGCGUGAGACUCUAAAGGUUAUUUAGAUACCUAAAAUUAUUGAUAUGGGUGGUUGUGCACCGGUAAAUUGCACAAACAGUUCAAGAAAAGGUGAAAUGGAUAAUAAAUUGCAGAAGAUACGACAGGAGCCUGAAAGAGGUGCUUAUGUGAGACGAAUUUGUUUUUGUUACCUUCGAAAUUGGGUAAUCGAGAAAAUAUAGGAACCUAGGCGGAAGUUAUAUUUCAGUUCUUUGUAUUUCGCAUUUUUAUUUCUGAAGAACUGAUUCUUGUCAAGUCAUUCAAAAUUCUGAAGAAACGAAAGAAAAUGAAUGGGACUAAAUAGGGUAUAAACUUUCAACCGCUCUCCCCCCCCCCAUAUUUGAGGGUCAAUAAACCGAAUCCAUGAAAAAGAAAAAAAGAAUGUUGAUGAAGAUAGGAAAAGUAAGUUUUUCUCUCAGAUUUCUUCACUUAAAAUAUCGUUUGCACUUAUUGAUUAGCCUAUUAAAGGUUAGACUUAAAAUUUAGUCCUAGUACACGAUCAUUAGAUCAAAAGUUACUCAGAGUGUUCAUUACUUUUAUUUUGUGCACUGCUGAUGUCAAUACACAAAUCACACAGAAUUAAACUUUAAUUUUAUCAACUCAAGCUAAUGCCUAUUAAGUAUUAUCUUAGAUCAAUCUUAUCAUACAAAAAGGAAGUAAUAAUUCUUUAUCAGCGAAUGGUUAGGCGUGGGACCCUCUUCAUAAGUGAGUGUCCAGCUAUUUUAUAUCCCGCAGAACUAGUUCACUAUACAUGCAAUAUUUAAAAUGUUAAUUAAUACUUACAGGAUCUACUGUAAGUCUGCGUCCCGCAGAGAACUGAUUGUUAAGACAUGGUUCCCAGCAGAACACCGAAGUCAACCAUCACUGGCUGCGGUCAGUGUGAGGUGACCACUUGGAUCAGUCUACGAAAUGACUGAGGGUGUGUGGUAUUGA